GAUGAACGCUGGCGGCGUGCUUAACACAUGCAAGUCGAACGGAAAGGCUCCUGCUUGCAGCGGUACUCUAGUGGCGAACGGGUGAGCAGCACUUGGGUGAUCUGCCCUGCACUUCGGGAUAAGCCUAUGAAACUGGGUCUAAUACCGGCUAGGACUAUUGUUUUUAUGCCAUUCUGGAAAUUUUUUUCGGUGUUGGUUGGGCUCGCGGCGUAUCAGCUUGUUGUGGGGGUAUUGGCCUACCAAGGCGUCGGCGGGUAGCCGGCCUGAGCGGGGAGACGGCCACGUUAGGCCGGAGAUGCGGCACAGACUAGUAUGGGAGGGAGCGGAGGGGAAUAGUACACAAUGGGCGCAAGCAUGAUGCAGCGACGCCGCGUGGGGGAUGACGGCAUUCGGGUUGUAAACUACUUUCGCUAGAGACGAAGCGAAAGUGACGGUACCUGGAGAAGAAGCACCGGCUAACUACGUG
rnacentral:rRNA from 1 species